rnacentral:sRNA from 1 species
ACUGGGUAUGGUGGUACACACCUGUAUUCCCAGCAACUUGGGAGGCUGAGGCAGGAGGAUCACAAGUUUAGGACCUGCCUCAGCAACUUAGUGAAAUCCUGUCUCAA